CGACACACACGCAUUCACCUGGAUAACUAAGAAGAGUAAGUUUACAGUGUGUUCAAUGAUGACAGGGUGGGUUUGACUCUCAACAUGUAUUUUGCAAGCUUGAGAUGCACCUCUCCAACUUUUGUUGCAUCAAUGGUUAACACCAUAGCGUCCUUGACCUUCACAAUCGCAGUUGCAUUAAGGUUGGAAGGUCUUGAUCUUGGAAAUCCUCGUGGAAAAGCAAAAGUUCUUGGGACCUUAGUUUCCUUGGCUGGUGUAAUGACUAUGACAUUUUAUAAAGGUCCUAUCGUAGAAAAUCUUUGGCAUCCUCUAAUUCAUAUUCAUCGAAAGGCUAGUAGCAACCAUGAGAGCUGGUUGAAGGGUUCGAUACUUGCUGUUGCAAGCUGCAUUUUUUGGUCUAUGUGGUAUAUUAUGCAGGCAUUCACCCUGAAAAGGUAUCCUGCUCAACUGUCGCUGACUACAUGGAUGAGCUUCGUUGGGGCUGCACAAUCAGCUUUCUUUACAGUGAUUGUAGAACAUAGAAAAAGUGCUUGGACUAUGGGAUUCAAUAUUGAUUUCUGGUCCACUGUGUAUGGAGGAGUGGUUGUCUCUGGUUUAAUAGUUUUCAUUCAGCUGUGGUGCACAGAAGUAAAAGGACCAGUUUUUGUCACCAUGUUCAAUCCCCUUUCAACAAUAUUAGUGGCAAUUUUGGCAUACUUCGUUCUGGGCGAAAAACUAUACCUGGGCAGCAUACUGGGGGCUGCUGUUGUAAUCAUCGGCUUAUACUCGCUGUUGUAGGGCAAAGAAGAUGAUCAACGAACUCAAUCCAGAUCACAAGAUCAAUCUCAUUCCAGUUAUGAAGAGCAAAAGGAGACCAAGAUACAGAGAGUUGCUUCACUUGAGAGUAAAAUACCAGCAAGCGAACCUUGAUGUCCAAAUCAUUUCUUAGACAAAAGGAUCAAUAUUCAAUACCAUGUACAUUCCAUCGAAUUAUAGGGUAAUAAUACCCAACUGGUUAACAUCUAUCAUAUUGACAAUUCCAGAUGGCUGUAUUCAGAGAUCUGCCACAGAAGGUAUCAUCUUGAAAAAUUCCAUAUUUUAGAAAUGUGAAUUUCUUCAAGAUCAACAAUCAACGGCAGAACAAUUCAUUUAAGAAAAUAAUUGCCAUCUAACUACAUUUCUUGUUAAUCUCCGACAACGCAUUAGCCAAUUGUCAAAUGUCUAAACCAGUUGGUAAAAAAGCAGUUAUAUUUACAAUUGAACUGACAAAAAUUGUUGGACAACUCUAGAAGAAAGCAUCUAAUUGUUGACAGAAAAUUAAUUGGACAGGAACAGAGUCAGAGAGAGAACAAAAGGAAAAAAAAUUAUGCAGCAGGGGGCCAGUACUCAUGGUCACGUGAUGUAUCACGGGAAGCCGGAGGUAAUUGCCACAUUGGUAUCAGACCAUAGCUUGGAAAAACUGCCAUCUUGUUCACUCCAGCAUGAUAAGCUGCAGGAUGGGCUGGCAUGAAUCCAGAAGGUGGAACAGCCAUAACCUUUAAUUGUUGCUCCAUCCUUUCUUUAUCUGCCUUCAGUGUGAGUUUCUCUUCACGAAGUUCAUUCUUCUCAGCCUUCAAAGUUUUUAUUUCUUCCCGUAGCUUUUCAUUUGUUUCUUUGAGCUCCUGAGCUUCAGUUUUCAAUUGAUUUAGAACUCUAACAGCAUCAUCAAGAAUGGCCGGUUUGUCAGUUCUGGCAGGUCUCCCAGGCUCCAAAACAGAGCUCAAAUCCUGAAACCUGUCAUUUAAUCUCUCCCUCCGCAACUUCUCACGGCAAGCUUUGGUCCUUGGCUUGCUGCAAGAAUCACUGUGUCCUCUGUGUAUUAUCAACAGAAAAAUUAUUAUGAAAACCUCAUAAAAAAAUGAUGUUAAGGGAACAUCUCAUUAAUAGCAAAGGAAAAAAUGGGGAAAAUUAUUGCCAGCUCAUUUGCUAACUAAAAAACCCAAAUGUAAGUGCUGCAUUAGAUACUUUGAACUUUAACAUUCCCAGGAUUAUUGGAAGCAAUAUUACUGGAUGAACAAACCAAAAUUCAUAAAUUGAAUAGUCUACUGGAUUUAAGAGAAAACACGUGAGAAACCAUAGAUUGGCACAGCUACUAGUGACUGCUUUUUUUCUCUUCCCUUAUUCUUUUUGCAAGAAACUAGGAACAAAUUUUUAACAAGUCCUAUUUGCAACAUUUCAAUAGUGUGAGUCAGUUGUGAGACAAUCUUUUAAAAGUUUAUUGCCAAAGACAGCAAAUUAAUAAUAGACGUCACACACUAGAAGGAGCCUUGUGAUUUUACAACACCUGAAUUAAGCAGCCCCUAAAUUCCUACACAUAUACUGUUGCUCAAAAAAAACAGGACGAGGAGUUCUAAAAUUAAAAUACAAAAUUAACAGCCUAAAUGUGCUCCGUAAAAAUAUUUCAGUAACUGAAACAUGAAAUAUAGGAAUAUGGAAAUGCAAAAUAAUACCUCUUUCUUGUGCACUGUUUUUCUUGCGCCACAGCACCACCAGAUGAAAAAUCAAUAUCCACGCCACCACUGUGAUUAUUAGGCCAUAAGAAAUCAGAAGAAGUCGUGGUUUCCUCGAUGAAGUUAUAAUCAAGAAAAUCCCAACAACAAUCGUCCUCUAAUGAAUCCAUGUCUUAUGGGAGGAAUUAUGGAUUUUGUAUAAAGUAAAUAGAUCAAUUCGGACUAGGGUUUUUUUCCCCGUUCAAAACAAAGAUAAGAAGAAAUUAUGAGCUUUUUUUAGGAAAUUAAACUGAAUUAAAUUUUGGGGCUGACAUAAAGGGAACGCAUGGGAAAAGAAGGGCCAAUAAGUUUAGAACACGUAAAAAGAAUCAAU
rnacentral:misc_RNA from 1 species